UACGUAGGGUGCAAGCGUUGUCCGGAAUUAUUGGGCGUAAAGAGCGUGUAGGCGGCCCGACAAGUCCGCUGUGAAAGUCCAGGGCUCAACCCUGGAAUGCCGGUGGAUACUGUCGGGCUAGGGUCCGGAAGGGGCGAGUGGAAUUCCUGGUGUAGCGGUGAAAUGCGCAGAUAUCAGGAGGAACACCAAUGGCGAAGGCAGCUCGCUGGGACGUGACUGACGCUGAGACGCUAAAGCGUGGGGAGCAAACAGG
rnacentral:rRNA from 1 species